UGGGGAAUAUUGGACAAUGGGGGCAACCCUGAUCCAGCAAUGCCGCGUGUGUGAAGAAGGUCUUCGGAUUGUAAAGCACUUUCGACGGGGACGAUGAUGACGGUACCCGUAGAAGAAGCCCCGGCUAACUUCGUGCCAGCAGCCGCGGUAAUACGAAGGGGGCUAGCGUUGCUCGGAAUGACUGGGCGUAAAGGGCGUGUAGGCGGUUUACACAGUCAGAUGUGAAAUCCCCGGGCUUAACCUGGGAGCUGCAUUUGAUACGUGUAGACUAGAGUGUGAGAGAGGGUUGUGGAAUUCCCAGUGUAGAGGUGAAAUUCGUAGAUAUUGGGAAGAACACCGGUGGCGAAGGCGGCAACCUGGCUCAUGACUGACGCUGAGGCGCGAAAGCGUGGGGAGCAAACAGGAUUAGAUACCCUGGUAGUCCACGCUGUAAACGAUGUGUGCUAGAUGUUGGGUACUUUGU
rnacentral:rRNA from 1 species